rnacentral:rRNA from 1 species
CGAACGCUGGCGGCGUGCUUAACACAUGCAAGUCGAACGGAAAGGCCCUGCUUUUGUGGGGUGCUCGAGUGGCGAACGGGUGAGUAACACGUGAGUAACCUGCCCUUGACUUUGGGAUAACUUCAGGAAACUGGGGCUAAUACCGGAUAGGAGCUCCUGCUGCAUGGUGGGGGUUGGAAAGUUUCGGCGGUUGGGGAUGGACUCGCGGCUUAUCAGCUUGUUGGUGGGGUAGUGGCUUACCAAGGCUUUGACGGGUAGCCGGCCUGAGAGGGUGACCGGCCACAUUGGGACUGAGAUACGGCCCAGACUCCUACGGGAGGCAGCAGUGGGGAAUAUUGCACAAUGGGCGGAAGCCUGAUGCAGCAACGCCGCGUGCGGGAUGACGGCCUUCGGGUUGUAAACCGCUUUCGCCUGUGACGAAGCGCGAGUGACGGUAAUGGGUAAAGAAGCACCGGCUAACUACGUG